GCACCAGGCAAUCGCGACCCCAAGCGCAAGCAAGGGGCCGAGGAAAGUCCGGGCACCCAACAACCACUGGCCGGAGAAGAUCCGGAGAGCACGCCAAAGCUCAUCAAAAGGGCCACAGAAAACAAACCACCAAUCUGCGCUUAUCCAAAAUAAAACGCCGAUUGGAACGGGUGAAAAGGUGGGGUAAAAGCCCACCGCCCCGCGCCGCAAGGCCGGGGGCACGGCAACCUGCCAGAGGGUGCAAUGCCAAAUAGGGGUAUCCGCCAAGGUUGGCGGCCAAGGUAAACCGUAAGGAAUACCAGGAUACCCGGGUCGGCAGCUACAAGCCACGGGCAACCGUGCGCUGAGAGGAAUGAUUGCCACCCUGAAGCAAUUCAGGGAACAAAACCCGGCUUACCGGUGCAACA
rnacentral:RNase_P_RNA from 1 species